GAUCAUGGCUCAGGAUGAGCGCUAGCUACAGGCUUAACACAUGCAAGUCGAGGGGAAACGACAUCGAAAGCCUGCUUUUGAUGGGCGUCGACCGGCGCACGGGUGAGUAACGCGUAUCCAACCUGCCCAUCACUUGGGAAUAACCUUGCGAAAGUAAGACUAAUGCCCAAUGAUAUCCCACGAAGGCAUCCGAAUGGGAUUAAAGAUUUAUCGGUGAGUGAGGUGGGAGUCGUCGUU
rnacentral:rRNA from 1 species